UCGCUUUUUUAUCUGUAACAGAAAAAUUACGCUUGCUGCGCUCGCGCUCAUAUUUCUUGUUGCAUUCUAUUUUGUAAAAUUCCACUAAGCAACUAGGUAUUCACCCCGUCAAGUCGAGUAGAAAUUUUUUUCUCCGGAUAACCCCCUCCCCUCUCCCCCCAAACAAAUCCCAUAGGUAGAUAUUAUGUAGGUACCUACUUACUGAAAGAGUACUGCGUUACUUAUGUACCUAAUUUUUACUUAAUUCUUGACUUGACCACGACUAUGUGACCCCCCCCUGGCGCCAAAGCUGGAUCCGCCCUUGUGUGGACUUCGUCUGUGCUGGCGCUCGCCGACACACGCGCGGCGCCCAGGGCUAAAGCGCCUUCCAGACGAACUGACUGGAAGGCGCUUUAGCCCUGGGCGCCACCAAAAAACACCAGCAAACACAUAAACCGGCCACUCUUAAC